AGGACGAACGCUGGCGGCGUGCUUAACACAUGCAAGUCGAACGGUAAGGCCCCUUCGGGGGUACACGAGUGGCGAACGGGUGAGUAACACGUGAGCAACCUGCCCUUGACUCUGGAAUAACAGCUGGAAACAGCUGCUAAUACUGGAUAUGACUUCCUGCGACAUCACAGGAAGUGGAAAGCUCCGGCGGUCAAGGAUGGGCUCGCGGCCUAUCAGCUAGUUGGUGAGGUAACGGCUCACCAAGGCUUCGACGGGUA
rnacentral:rRNA from 1 species